rnacentral:rRNA from 1 species
UACGUAGGGUGCGAGCGUUGUCCGGAAUUAUUGGGCGUAAAGAGCUCGUAGGCGGCUUAGUAAGUCGGGUGUGAAACCUCCAGGCUCAACCUGGAGACGCCACCCGAUACUGCUGUGGCUAGAGUCCGGUAGGGGAGCGUGGAAUUCCUGGUGUAGCGGUGAAAUGCGCAGAUAUACAGGAGGAACACCAGGCGGCGAAGGCGGCGCUCUGGGCCGGUACUGACGCUGGAGGAGCGAAAGCGUGGGGAGCAAACAGG